UGGGGAAUAUUGCACAAUGGGCGCAAGCCUGAUGCAGCCAUGCCGCGUGUAUGAAGAAGGCCUUCGGGUUGUAAAGUACUUUCAGCGGGGAGGAAGGGAGUAAAGUUAAUACCUUUGCUCAUUGACGUUACCCGCAGAAGAAGCACCGGCUAACUCCGUGCCAGCAGCCGCGGUAAUACGGAGGGUGCAAGCGUUAAUCGGAAUUACUGGGCGUAAAGCGCACGCAGGCGGUUUGUUAAGUCAGAUGUGAAAUCCCCGGGCUCAACCUGGGAACUGCAUCUGGUACUGGCAAGCUUGAGUCUCGUAGAGGGGGGUAGAAUUCCAGGUGUAGCGGUGAAAUGCGUAGAGAUCUGGAGGAAUACCGGUGGCGAAGGCGGCCCCCUGGACGAAGACUGACGCUCAGGUGCGAAAGCGUGGGGAGCAAACA
rnacentral:rRNA from 1 species